UACGGAGGGCGCGAGCGUUAAUCGGAAUUACUGGGCGUAAAGCGCGCGUAGGCUGUUGUGUAAGUUGGGGGUGAAAUCCCACGGCUCAACCGUGGAACAGCCCUUGAUACUGCGCGACUUGAAUCCGGGAGAGGGUGGCGGAAUUCCAGGUGUAGGAGUGAAAUCCGUAGAUAUCUGGAGGAACAUCAGUGGCGAAGGCGGCCACCUGGACCGGUAUUGACGCUGAGGCGCGGAAGCGUGGGGAGCAAACAGG
rnacentral:rRNA from 1 species